UACGUAGGGUGCAGGCGUUAAUCGGAAUUACUGGGCGUAAAGGGCUCGUAGGCGGCCAACUAAGUCAUACGUGAAAUCCCUCAGCUUAACUGGGGAACUGCGUGUGAUACUGGAUGGCUUGGAUUUGGGAGAGGGAUGCGGAAUUCCAGGUGUAGCGGUGAAAUGCGUAGAUAUCUGGAGGAACACCGGUGGCGAAGGCGGCAUCCUGGACCAAUAUUGACGCUGAGGAGCGAAAGCCAGGGGAGCAAAGCGGG
rnacentral:rRNA from 1 species